rnacentral:piRNA from 1 species
UCAAGGGAGACUGAUAUGUUUGA